GACGAACGCUGGCGGCGUGCUUAACACAUGCAAGUCGAACGGAAAGGCCCUGCUUUUGUGGGGUGCUCGAGUGGCGAACGGGUGAGUAACACGUGAGUAACCUGCCCUUGACUUUGGGAUAACUUCAGGAAACUCGGGCUAAUACCGGAUAGGAGCUCCUGCUGCAUGGUGGGGGUUGGAAAGUUUCGGCGGUUGGGGCUGGACUCGCGGCUUAUCAGCUUGUUGGGGGGGUAGUGGCUUACCAAGGCUUUGACGGGUAGCCGGCCUGGGAGGGUGACCGGCCACAUUGGGACUAAGGUACGGCCCAGACGCCUACGGGAGGCAGUGGUGGGAAAUAUUGCACAAUGGGCGGAAGCGUGAUGCAGCAGCGCCGCGUGCGGGAUGACGGCCUUCGGGUUGUAAACCGAUUUGGCCUGUGACGAAGCGUGAGUGACGGUAAUGGGUAAAGAAGCACCGGCUAACUACGUG
rnacentral:rRNA from 1 species